CGGCGACCCGAGAGCUGGGGUGUGCGGCGCCGGUCCCCGCGGAGAGAGGCGAGUCAAAGGUGAGAGAAUAAGAGCAGAUCGAGAUCUGACCAGGGUAUGGAGUGCAACAUGAGCUCUCUGUGCUUCUCUGCUGUGUUUACUGAAGGUCACCUUCCUCCUUGAUGUACAAGCCCAAGACAACAACUCUGCAUUCAGUGUGGCCCAGGUAUUCCAAAGGUUGGAUACCCAUGCAGUCAUCAAGCUCUUUUGGUGGAGGUUUUACUCGACGAUUGCAAUUUAUCAUUUUCAAUCCAGACAAGUACUGACUUCUGAGAAUCAGAAGUAUGUCCUCCUUCUCGUGCCUGCAGUUUCUCUAUAGACAAGCAGAAAAAUUGGGGCAUGCUGCAGUCAGUCUGACAGCUGCCGAAAAUGCGAGUGAUUCAUAAAUAUGUUCCUUCUGUGUGAUGAUUGUUGGUAAGGGUGUAGGACUAAUCUGGAGCCUCUCGUCACUAGCCCAGAAAUAGCUGUUUGGUUUAUAAAGGCAAGACCCGCAAAAAGCAGACCAAGAGCAAAAAACUGCAUGUGAAGCAGGAACAGCAAAUUUUAGUGAAAUAGCUUUGGAGGAGAA